rnacentral:rRNA from 1 species
AUUGAACGCUGGCGGCAGGCCUAACACAUGCAAGUCGAGCGGAUGAAGGGAGCUUGCUCCUGGAUUCAGCGGCGGACGGGUGAGUAAUGCCUAGGAAUCUGCCUGGUAGUGGGGGAUAACGUCCGGAAACGGGCGCUAAUACCGCAUACGUCCUGAGGGAGAAAGUGGGGGAUCUUCGGACCUCACGCUAUCAGAUGAGCCUAGGUCGGAUUAGCUAGUUGGUGGGGUAAAGGCCUACCAAGGCGACGAUCCGUAACUGGUCUGAGAGGAUGAUCAGUCACACUGGAACUGAGACACGGUCCAGACUCCUACGGGAGGCAGCAGUGGGGAAUAUUGGACAAUGGGCGAAAGCCUGAUCCAGCCAUGCCGCGUGUGUGAAGAAGGUCUUCGGAUUGUAAAGCACUUUAAGUUGGGAGGAAGGGCGGUAAGUUAAUACCCUGCUGCUUUGACGUUACCAACAGAAUAAGCACCGGCUAACUUCGUG